ACCAACUGACGAGUCCUAUAUGGGACGAAACGUGCGUCUUGGAU
rnacentral:hammerhead_ribozyme from 1 species